CCUUUCAUGGCUCCACGAUUUUACCGCGCAUGAUUUCUGUUACAUCGGACAGAGCCCAAAAAUGGCAAGUUUCCCCCAAAAAAGGUCUGGAUAACUUCGAAGGGGGGGCCGGGCCACCUGUGCCACCCCCCUGGCUACGCCCCUGGACCGUGUCAAAUUCUCCUAAAAUUUAUGUUGAUGUGUGUUCACCAACUGCUCCAUGGCUUAAAGAACCAUCUUUUUCUUAUCCGAGGAGGUUUUAAAAAAGACGAAGAAUUGGCAGAACCUUAGACUUAUCUGACGUAAAUCGCAAAGUCAUCGCCAGGAAUAAUUAUUAUUUGUAUCAUCAUCACAACAAAGGCUUCCAAUUUGACAACCGAAUGUUCCAACUAUUCCAUGUGGGGAUGGGUCCACGUACCAGGGCGUUCGACGCCAAAGCCUCAUAUUGCCACCGUACGAGAUGCGUCCCCAGUAGUCACAGUUGUUUGUAGCGUCACAGGUAUCUCCCCACUUGCCACAGUUACGAGACAAGAUAGAGUUAUCGUCAUGGGCACGAGUGAACGAUCCGCAGGCGACUGGCCGUGGGUCCGCCGUCUCUAUGAGACUUCUGAAUAAUAAGAACGAAAAGAGAAGGAGAUACAUUUAAGAAAUAAGGUUAGGAUAAAUUCACUGAAUGAUGAGGUGAAACCGGUCCUUUUAUUUUAUCAUGGUGGUAAUAUAGUGAAUUGAGGGAACACAUUUAUAGGGUUUUUCAAUUCGCAACAAAACAGAAUCUAAAAGCGAUGCCUCCUGCCAUACAUUUUUGAAGGUGAUUAGUUUGAAACAGGAGAGUACAACCAAAAAAGAAAUAAUAGCUCAAUUUGUUUGGGAAGCAACAACAA